rnacentral:rRNA from 1 species
AUUGAACGCUGGCGGCAUGCUUUACACAUGCAAGUCGAACGGCAGCGCGGGCUUCGGCCUGGCGGCGAGUGGCGAACGGGUGAGUAAUGCAUCGGAACGUGCCCAGUCGUGGGGGAUAGCCCGGCGAAAGCCGGAUUAAUACCGCAUACGACCUGAGGGUGAAAGCGGGGGACCGAAAGGCCUCGCGCUAUUGGAGCGGCCGAUGUCGGAUUAGCUAGUUGGUGGGGUAAAGGCUUACCAAGGCGACGAUCCGUAGCUGGUCUGAGAGGACGACCAGCCAAACUGGGACUGAGGCACGGCCCAGACUCCUACGGGAGGCAGCAGUGGGGAAUUUUGGGCAAAGGGGGCAACCCUGAUCCAGCCAUGCCGCGUGCGGGAAGAAGGCCUUCGGGUUGUAAAACGCUUUUGUUCGGGAAGAAAUCCUCUGGGCUAAUACCCCGGGGGGAUGACGGUACCGGAAGAAUAAGCACCGGCUAACUACGUG